rnacentral:lncRNA from 1 species
UUAGUUUUAGUGAUACCUCUAUUCGGGAGACCUCUUCUUUCUUAUUUGAUUUUAAAGAUAUGUUGAAAAUUGUCAUACAUGUACAAUUCAGGAUAUACCCGGUUUCUAUGAAGUUAAACUUAAGGUAAAAUAUUUCGAAAGCAGUAAUAAUUGGAAAUUUCGAUUUUUAAUUGGUGGUCUGACACUUUGAGGUUGAAAGAUCAAGGCCGUGUUAUCACUUUUGAAUUCUAUUCUGUUGCAAGCAGUGAAUACAAUGUUUCUAAAUACGUCAUAAGUCAAAUGCUUAUUGACAGACUAACAUGGGCGGUGUUAUUCUUUAAAGAACUUACUUUUCAACAGAUGAUGCCAGGAAAAUUCGGCACAUAUAAUUAUAAAUAUUCAAGACUCACUUAUAACACUAGUUAAAGUUGAUAUAUACAAUUUGGUUAUAGUCAAUGGUUAUUGAAAUGUCAUAAAAAAAGAUAGAGAUAUCCCUACAAAAACAAAUCAAAACUAUUUAAUUUUGAAGCAAAAAUAGUAAGACUGUUUUACAUGGGUAGCUAAAAGACAUCUCCCCUUUCACAUAUUACACCGGCCUCGUACUACUGGAACAUGAUUAAGUCGCAAGUAUUUUUGCGUUAGACUUGACGAAAAGUCACAUUGAAAACCAGCAUACAAACUGACUUAAUGUACACCGGGAUAAGCUUUUUUCAAUCAUUCUCUGUAAAUGUACCUCACAAUUUAAUAUUUUUAGAAUCAUAUAAACGCGAACUGAUAUUUUGCCAACUUAAAAUAGCAAAGUAUCUCCAAAAUGCAAGCAAAUAUAAGAAAAUGAUAUACGUUUUGGCUCAGUGUAUAGAAAGAUUGUAAGUGCACGUAAAAAUACAUUUGUAGAAUUCUGAAGUAAACGCCCGUUUACUACUGACUAAACGGACACAGAGCAAACGCCCGUUUACUCGGGUAGACAUUAGAAAUUGCCAUUUUGACCGCUUUAAUGUAUUUAUGGUAAACGCGCGUCUACUAGUAAACGGGAAAUUUGAAGUUAACUAACGAAAUAUGUGCACGCGGCGUUAACUUGAAUUUUACUUUAUGUAAUGCUUGGUCUGCACCCAACUGUAUCAUAUAAGAUAAGAAUGCACAUGUUUCCAACGGAUAUGCCGAAUUGCUGACUUUAUUUCAAACAUAAAUACAUGGAAACCUAUGGGGAACAGCUCGAGUAUUUCAAAGAAAAAAAACAACAAAUUAUGCACAUUGGCAUCUGUGUAAAUUUAGUUAUCUG